rnacentral:sRNA from 1 species
UAAAGUACUUUAUUCCCCACACGAUUGC